CGGAUGAACGCUAGCGGCAGGCCUAAUACAUGCAAGACGAACGGUAAGUUUGAUAGCAAUAUUGAACCUAGAGUGUCGUAAGGGUGCGUAACACGUAUGCAAUCUACCCUCAACAGGAGGAUAGCUCCCCGAAAGGGGAAUUAACACUCCAUAAGAUCACAGGAUGGCAUCAUUCAGUGAUUAAAACUCCGGUGGUUGAGGAUGAGCAUGCGCAUGAUUAGUUAGUUGGCGGGGUAAUGGCCCACCAAGACGAUGAUCAUUAGGGGAACUGAGAGGUUGAUCCCCCACACUGGCACUGAGAUACGGGCCAGACUCCUACGGGAGGCAGCAGUAGGGAAUAUUGGACAAUGGGUGCGAGCCUGAACCAGCCAUGCCGCGUGCAGGAUGACGGCCCUACGGGUUGUAAACUGCUUUUCCCCGGGGCGAAUAACCCCCUCGCGAGGGGGGAUGCCGGUACCGGGGGAAUAAGGAUCGGCUAACUCCGUG
rnacentral:rRNA from 1 species